rnacentral:rRNA from 1 species
AGUGAACGCUGGCGGUAGGCCUAACACAUGCAAGUCGAACGGCAGCACAGGAGAGCUUGCUCUCUGGGUGGCGAGUGGCGGACGGGUGAGGAAUACAUCGGAAUCUACCUUUUCGUGGGGGAUAACGUAGGGAAACUUACGCUAAUACCGCAUACGACCUACGGGUGAAAGUGGGGGACCGCAAGGCCUCACGCGAUUAGAUGAGCCGAUGUCCGAUUAGCGAGUUGGCGGGGUAAUGGCCCACCAAGGCGACGAUCGGUAGCUGGUCUGAGAGGAUGAGCAGCCACACUGGAACUGAGACACGGUCCAGACUCCUACGGGAGGCAGCAGUGGGGAAUAUUGGACAAUGGGCGCAAGCCUGAUCCAGCCAUACCGCGUGGGUGAAGAAGGCCUUCGGGUUGUAAAGCCCUUUUGUUGGGAAAGAAAUCCUAUCGGUUAAUAACCGGUGGGGAUGACGGUACCCAAAGAAUAAGCACCGGCUAACUUCGUGCCAGCCGCCGCAGUAAGAC